GUGAGUGGCCGACAAAGUUUAGCUAAUUUUCGUUAGCUACCGACAUGACCGACGAAAGUUAGUGAACCCUAUACAAUAACUCUAAAGUUAUUGUAUAAUUUUCACUAGCGGUUCUGUUACACCAACGUCCUAUGAAAUAGCUCGUUUUCACUGGCGGUUGUGUUAAGAGAACCGCCAGUAGAAAUAGGUUUCCACUAGCAGUUUCCAAGCUAGAUCCACUUAUUUUUUUUCAUUGGCGCGCGGUAACUGAAACCGCCAGUGAUAAUUUGUUGGUGUCGCAGGCUUUAAUCUUUUUUCUACUAGUGUUUCAUCGGUCAUGUCAGUAGCUAACUUUUAUCGACUACAUAUACGACCCACAAAAGUUAGUAUAACUUCUGUCGGCUACGCAGAGACUGACGAAAAUUAGCUUGGCCGACAAAAAAAUCUGUUUUCCUGUUGUGGUACUAUAACAAAAAAAUAUUACAAAAAAUAUUUUAACUAUAAAAUCUUAUAUUUUGGCAAGUACUACAAAUUUAAUAUAGGAUGUGUCUCGUCGGAGUUUAUUUGAAAAUCUCUGCAAAGUUGGUCGGUUGACAGUGUACAGCAGUUUAUGGUACUUCUACAAGGAUACUAGUAGUGGAGCGACAUUCUUGACCUACAAUUAAUGUGCGUGUUGAGGCUGUCGGGCCUCGAAGAAGCUCAUGGCUAAAGCGGACAUUGUGGAUUC
rnacentral:lncRNA from 7 species